UGGGGAAUAUUGCACAAUGGGCGAAAGCCUGAUGCAGCAACGCCGCGUGAAGGAUGAAGGCCUUUGGGUCGUAAACUUCUGUCCUUGGGGAAGAAAAAAUGACGGUACCCCUGGAGGAAGUCCCGGCUAACUACGUGCCAGCAGCCGCGGUAAUACGUAGGGGGCGAGCGUUAUCCGGAAUUAUUGGGCGUAAAGAGUACGUAGGUGGUUUUUUAAGCGCAGGGUUUAAGGCGAUGGCUCAACUGUCGUUCGCCCUGUGAACUGGAAGACUUGAGUACAGGAGAGGAAAGCGGAAUUCCUAGUGUAGCGGUGAAAUGCAUAGAUAUUAGGAGGAACACCAGUGGCGAAGGCGGCUUUCUGGACUGUAACUGACACUGAGGUACGAAAGCGUGGGGAGCAAAC
rnacentral:rRNA from 1 species